AAUUAACCAGCAGUAGCUUUCCGGGAACCAUCACCUGAAAUAGGGUCCGACUAAUAAAUGGGGGCACAGCUGUGAACGGCAACAGACAGACGUGGGACAGUUGGAACAUCUGACACCUCAAUAGGAUACCCUCUGGUUUUAAUUUGACCUUCAUUCCAGCGGGUCCAAAGGGGACAGAAGAACAAGAAUGUGUUUAUCCGGUGGAGAGUGGCUCAUGAUGCUGAAUGCUGUCAUCAAAGGCUUUGACUGAGUAUACUACAGAAAUGGAUAACAAAAUCUAGCAAAUAUUAAGUUGUAGUUUAUUUGAAUUAUUGUAAUUUCAAACAGAGAUAUUACAACACUUUUCAUAGUCUUGCUUUCUGUGCAUUUGCUGCAGAGCUUUUGUGGAGGAGCAGGACCUGCAAGGAAAGAUGAUGGCAGCAUUUG